CUACGGGGGGCAGCAGUGGGGAAUAUUGGACAAUGGGCGCAAGCCUGAUCCAGCAAUACCGCGUGUGUGAAGAAGGCCUGCGGGUUGUAAAGCACUUUCAAUUGUGAAGAAAAGCCUGGGGUUAAUACCCUCGGGUCUUGACGUUAACUUUAGAAGAAGCACCGGCUAACUCCGUGCCAGCAGCCGAGGUAAUACGGAGGGUGCGAGCGUUAAUCGGAAUUACUGGGCGUAAAGCGUGCGUAGGCGGCUAGGUCAGUCAGAUGUGAAAGCCCCGGGCUUAACCUGGGAACUGCAUUUGAUACUGCCUGGCUAGAGUAUGGUAGAGGGAAGUGGAAUUCCGGGUGUAGCGGUGAAAUGCGUAGAUAUCCGUAGGAACACCAGUGGCGAAGGCGACUUCCUGGACCAAUACUGACGCUGAGGUACGAAAGCGUGGGUAGCAAACAGGAUUAGAUACCCGUGUAGUC
rnacentral:rRNA from 1 species